UAUUCCUUGAAUUAGUCACAUCAUAAAAGUUCCUUUGAAAAGACAUGGCCAAGAGCAAUGGUGGAAAUGACUGGCAAUAUCCACGAUCACGAUACACCUUUAGACCUGCUUGGAAGAAAUUAAGCAGGAUUCAAACGACCUACCCUCGCCCAUGCAAAUCAGUCACAAGUGACCCGCACAGCGACAGGUGCGUCAGUCGGGCAGGUACCCGGAAGAAGAGAGAAAAAAAACAGGAGCUUGUUCGAGUUACAGUGUGUUACCCUGACUGAGACUAAUUCUAGCCCAGCUAUAGCCAUGGACCAGAGGAGCCUACAGGCAGAGUUUAAGGAUCAGUUUACAGACGUGUGUCCAGAUUGCAGUCUAAACAGCUGUUCCAGUCUGACUGGGACAUCGCCUCCUUCGCUGUCUCUUCAUCUUCAUCGGCAUGGUUUGCUGCUGUUUUGUCCUGGUUCUGAUCCGCUG